rnacentral:rRNA from 1 species
AGUGAACGCUGGCGGUAGGCCUAACACAUGCAAGUCGAACGGCAGCGCAGUAAGAGCUUGCUCUUACGGGUGGCGAGUGGCGGACGGGUGAGGAAUACAUCGGAAUCUACUUUUUCGUGGGGGAUAACGUAGGGAAACUUACGCUAAUACCGCAUACGACCUACGGGUGAAAGCAGGGGAUCUUCGGACCUUGCGCGAUUGAAUGAGCCGAUGUCGGAUUAGCUAGUUGGCGGGGUAAAGGCCCACCAAGGCGACGAUCCGUAGCUGGUCUGAGAGGAUGAUCAGCCACCAUGGAACUGAGACACGGUCCAGACUCCUACGGGAGGCAGCAGUUGGGAAUAUUGGACAAUGGGCGCAAGCCUGAUCCAGCCAUACCGCGUGGGUGAAGAAGGCCUUCGGGUUGUAAAGCCCUUUUGUUGGGAAAGAAAAGCAGCAGGUUAAUACCCCGCUGUUCUGACGGUACCCAAAGAAUAAGCACCGGCUAACUUCGUG